ensembl:lncRNA
AACAGAUUUGGAUGAAAUUUUCAGUGAAGGUCAGAAAUGACACAAGGACCAAGUGAUUAGAUUUUGGCAGCAAUGCAGCUUAUAGUCUGAAUCCACGGAUUUGUUUAAGAUUUCUGUAUCAUUGCAAGAUAGACAGCGUCACUGUAACUAUGACAACAAGUGAACACUUGUCAGCUGCCUGCUGAUGAUCACAUGAUUGUGAUUCUAUGAUAAAUCCACCACUGUGGACUUAUCAGGACUUAUCCAUCUGAAAUGAUACAAGAAACAAUUGAUUAAAUUGUGGGGGUAUUUCUGAGUCCCAUUAAUUCCUGCCGCCUGCUACAUAUUUAGGUCACGUGAUUCGGUAUCUGUACAUAAUGUACACAUGCAUAACACGCCUGUGCUCAGCGCAAGGUCAUUUUGUUUGUGGGUACAUCUAUAUGUGACCGGCUGAUUAGCCAUCAUGCCAUACAGCUGUGGGGGAACUAAUGAUUGGUUUGGCCGUUGCAGCAGGGGGUUCGAAUUGAUUGACGGACAUAGCGCCAGUAUACUCCUGAACACUCCCGGACAGGUACGCGCUGUGCAGCACGCAAAACACUGAUAUUGAGAGAUUCAACACUGUGAACCCUCCUGAGCUGGGAUUCCCCUUGCUGCGCGUGGGGCUUAGCAUGGUCGGGUUUUUUUUGGAUCGGAUUUGGAAAUCUUGAGAAGAGCCAAGGAUCAAUUUCCAGUACUGGAUGGCAAGCAUCAUACCAAAGAGUCGAACAAACUGGUAGCUUGUAACCCAACUGGUUACAAACACACACCUGUGAACACUGAACUUUGAACCAUUGACACUGAAAGAUUGAAAGACUGAAACAAACAAAAAAAAAACAAACACUAAAGACAAAAAGGACUUUUUAUUUCAUUUUGUUUAUCUUUCAUUCUCUUUUUGAAAGCUCUUUUUUUUUUUUUUAAUACUGUGCACAGACCCCUUCACAAUUUAAACUUUGCAAUUAAAUGCAAAUUGUCUUUUAAUACGGUGUCAUCUCCCUUGUUUUCGCACACCCUGGCCUCCUGCGAAUUUAAAGUCUUCUGAUCUGGCCUAUCCUCUUUUCUACUGUAGUACUUUGGUUAAAGGUAACUGUACAAAGACAGUACAGAAGC